rnacentral:lncRNA from 1 species
CUCCGGGAGGUCGGGAUCGGGAUCGGGAUUGGGAUUGGGAUCGGGAUCGGGAUUGGGAUCGGGAUUGGGAUCGGGAUUGGGCAUUGGGAUCGGGAUCGGGAUCGGGAUUGGGAUCGGGAUCGGGAUUGGGAUUGGGAUCGGGAUUGGGAUUGGGAUCGGGAUUUGGGAUCGAGAUUGGGAUUGGGAUCGGGAUUGGGAUCGGGAUCGGGAUCAGGAUUGGGAUUGGGAUUGGGAUCGAGAUUUGGGAUCGGGAUUGGGGUCGGGAUCGGGGUCGGGAUUGGGGUCGGGAUUGGGAUUUGGGAUUGGGAUCGGGAUUGGGACCGAGAUCGGGAUCGGGAUUUGGGAUUGGGAUCGCAAUUGGGAUCUGGGUCAGGAUCGGGAUUGGGAUCGGGGUCAGGAUUUGGGUUGGGAUCAAGAUUGGGAUCGGGAUUGGGAUUGGGAUUUGGGAUUGGGAUUGGGAUUUGGGAUUGGGAUUGGGAUUUGGGAUUGGGAUCGGGAUCGGGAUUGGGAUUUGGGAUUGGGAUUUGGGAUUGGGAUUUGGGAUCGGGAUUUGGGAUCGGGAUUUGGCAUCGGGAUUUGGCAUCGGGAUUUGGGAUUGGGAUUGGGAUCGGGAUCGGGAUUGGGAUCGGGAUCGGGAUCGGGAUUUGGCAUCGGGAUUUGGGAUUGGGAUUUGGGAUUGGGAUUUGGCAUCGGGAUUCGGGAUUGGGAUUGGGAUCGGGAUUUGGGAUUGGGAUCCGGAUUGGGAUCAGGAUUGGGAUUGGGAUUGGGAUUUGGGAUCGGGAUUCGGGAUCGGGGUCGGGAUUGGGAUCGGGAUUUGGGAUUGGGAUUUGGAUCGGGGUUUGUAUUUGGGUCAGGAUUGGGAUCGAGAUUGGGGUCAGGAUUGGAAUUAGAAUUGGGAUUGAGGUCAGGAUUGGGGUUGGGAUUGGGAUCGGGAUUGGGGUCAGGAUGGGGAUUGGGGUUGGGAUCGAGAUUGAGGUCAGGAUUGGAAUUAGAAUUGGGAUUGGGGUCAGGAUCAGGAUUGGGGUUGGGAUUGGGACUGAGGUCAGGAUCGGGGUUGGGAUUGGGGUCAGGAUCAGGAUUGGGGUCGGGAUUGGGAUUGAGGUCAGGAUCGGGGUUGGGACUGGGAUCGGGAUUGGGAUCGGGAUUGGGGUCAGGAUUGGAAUUAGAAUUGGGAUUGGGGUCAGGAUCAGGAUUGGGAUCAGGGUUGGGAUUGAGAUCAAGAUCGGGGUUGGGACUGGGGAGGUCUGGAGUAAGAUUGGAGCAUUUGGGGGGUGGGAUGGGAUCCAUGGGAAGGGAUCAGUGAUCCCUGGGUGCUCCCUGAGGGGUUAUUGGGGUGGAUCCCUGGGGAUUUGGGGUAGAUCCCUGUGAUUUAACCCCUCCCAGGCGGGGCUGCGGGCUCGGGAACGCGCGGCUGCCCUGAGGCUGCAGGGGCUGUUCCGGCUGGGUGGAUCCCUGGGGAUUUGGGGUGGAUCCCUGGGGAUUUGAGGUGGAUCACAGGG